rnacentral:rRNA from 1 species
GUGAACGCUGGCGGUAGGCCUAACACAUGCAAGUCGAACGGCAGCACAGUAAGAGCUUGCUCUUACGGGUGGCGAGUGGCGGACGGGUGAGGAAUACAUCGGAAUCUACUUUUUCGUGGGGGAUAACGUAGGGAAACUUACGCUAAUACCGCAUACGACCUACGGGUGAAAGCAGGGGAUCUUCGGACCUUGCGCGAUUGAAUGAGCCGAUGUCGGAUUAGCUAGUUGGCGGGGUAAAGGCCCACCAAGGCGACGAUCCGUAGCUGGUCUGAGAGGAUGAUCAGCCACACUGGAACUGAGACACGGUCCAGACUCCUACGGGAGGCAGCAGUGGGGAAUAUUGGACAAAGGGCGCAAGCCUGAUCCAGCCAUACCGCGUGGGUGAAGAAGGCCUUCGGGUUGUAAAGCCCUUUUGUUGGGAAAGAAAAGCAGCAGGUUAAUACCCCGCUGUUCUGACGGUACCCAAAGAAUAAGCACCGGCUAACUUCGUG